rnacentral:rRNA from 1 species
AAGCGCUUGCAACCAGACUUUACAGCGGUGUUCCACCGGUCUUCUGACCGGUCUACUCGCCGUCGUAAGGCCAACGUCGUCUGGGACCGCCGGAUAAAGGCGUCGGGAAUGUGACUCCCUCGGGAGUGUUAUAGCCCUUCGCACAAUACGGCGUGACCCGGGCGAGGUCCGCGCUUCGGCAAGGACGUUGGCGUAAUGGUCGUAAGCGG